rnacentral:siRNA from 1 species
UAAAAUUGGUGUACGAGAUGACGU